CUUGGCAACUAGGUAGCUUGGUUUGUGGCAGUGGGAUCCUUUGGCAGCUGCUUCUAGCAUGGUUCUGACCAGAAAGCAGAGAGUUGGGCAGGAAAAGAGGCCAGAAUCUACUCCCGAGGCCCACCCCUAUGUGGUCAAUUUCCUCCACCAAGGCUUUAUCUCAUGAGGUUUCCACAAUCUCCCCCAAACGAGCUGUCAGUUGGAGACAAAGUUGUCAAACAAUUGAGUAGAGCAUUUGCACCUGAGAACUGGAACAAGGAAUAACACAGCCGUCCAGGUGUGACGGUGUCCACGGCACGGUACUAUUUGGAGAAUGUGGGUUCAGGAUGAAGUUGUGAGCCUCCUUUCCCUGGACUUCCCACGUAACAGCGGAUGGAACCCAGAGCCUUACCCAUGCUAGACAAUCACUCCAUCUCCAGACUACGUCUUUAGCCUUGUCAUGGAGCUGUGGCAGGCAUGGGCAGCCCAGAGAAAGCUCACCUUCCAGGGCCUGGAGGUGGGGGACCACCACUACUUGUCUGUCCUCGGUCUGACAUGUGACCCUGGCAGCGAAGAUGACUACAGGGUAAAUGGAGUAGGAUCCGAUCACAUAGAAGAGGUCUCCUGAGUCCAUCGG